rnacentral:rRNA from 1 species
UACGUAGGGACCGAGCGUUGUCCGGAAUCAUUGGGCGUAAAGAGCGUGUAGGCGGCCAACUAAGUCCUACGUGAAAUCUCGGGGGCUCAACCCCCGAGCGGUCGUGGGAAACUGGUUGGCUAGAGUGCGGGAGAGGAGAGUGGAAUUCCUGGUGUAGCGGUGAAAUGCGCAGAUAUCAGGAGGAACACCGGUGGCGAAGGCGGGUCUCUGGGCCGAUACUGACGCUGAGGUGCGAAAGCGUGGGGAGCAAACAGG